rnacentral:rRNA from 1 species
AUUGAACGCUGGCGGCAUGCCUAACACAUGCAAGUCGAGCGGAUCGGCGGACGCGUGCGUAAUGCCUAGGAAUCUGACUGUUAGUGGUGGAUAACGUCCAGUAACGGGAGCUAAUACCGAAUCCUAUCAGAAUUCCAUAGGUCGGUUUAGCUAGUGGUUGGGGUAAAGGCCUACCAAGGCGACGAUCCGUAACUGGUCUGAGAGGAUGAUCAGUCACACGGGAACUGAGACACGGUCCAGACUCCUACGGGAGGCAGCAGGGGGGAAUAUUGGACAAUGGGCGAAAGCCUGAUCCAGCCAUGCCGCGUGUGUGAAGAAGGUCUUCGGAUUGUAAAGCACUUUAAGUUGGGAAGCGGUACCAACAGAAUAAGCACCGGCUAACUACGUGCCAGCAGCCGCGGUAAUUC